GGGGUUGUGGCUUAGUGGUUAAGUACUUGCCUAGAAUGCAUGAAGCACUGGGUUCAAUCCCCAGGACCACA
rnacentral:tRNA from 1 species